rnacentral:tRNA from 1 species
GGGUCUGUGGCUCAGCCAGGCAGAGCGACUGGCUCUUAACCAGUAAGUCGUGGGUUCAAAUCCCACCAGACCCG